AGGACGAACGCUGGCGGCGUGCUUAACACAUGCAAGUCGAGCGGAAAGGCCCUUCGGGGUACUCGAGCGGCGAACGGGUGAGUAACACGUGAGCAACCUGCCCUUAGCUUCGGGAUAGCUCCGGGAAACCGGAAUUAAUACCGAAUAUGACUUUGGCUGACAUCAGCAGAAGUGGAAAGUUUUUCGGCUAGGGAUGGACUCGCGGCCUAUCAGCUAGUUGGUGAGGUAACGGCCCACCAAGGCGACGACGGGUAGCCGGCCUGAGAGGGCGACCGGCCACACUGGGACUGAGACACGGCCCAGACUCCUACGGGAGGCAGCAGUGGGGAAUAUUGCGCAAUGGGCGAAAGCCUGACGCAACGACGCCGCGUGGGGGAUGAAUGCCUUCGGGUUGUAAACCCCUUUCAGCAGGGACGAAGCGAAAGUGACGGUACCUGCAGAAGAAGCGCCGGCUAACUACGUGCCAGCAGCCGC
rnacentral:rRNA from 1 species